rnacentral:rRNA from 1 species
UACGAAGGGUGCAAGCGUUACUCGGAAUUACUGGGCGUAAAGCGUGCGUAGGUGGUUAGUUAAGUCUGAUGUGAAAGCCCUGGGCUCAACCUGGGAACUGCAUUGGAAACUGGCUUACUAGAGUGCGGUAGAGGGGUGUGGAAUUCCCGGUGUAGCAGUGAAAUGCGCAGAUAUCAGGAGGAACACCGGUGGCGAAGGCGGAUCUCUGGGCCUUACCUGACGCUGAGGCGCGAAAGCUAGGGGAGCGAACAGG